GGAGAGAUGGCUGAGCGGUUUAAAGUACCACCUUGGAAAGGUGGCGUGCGCGAAAGUGUACCGGGAGUUCGAAUCUCCCUCUCUCCG
rnacentral:tRNA from 1 species